UUUAGCCNCGUUUCGGNUUCGAUUUAGCCUGCUAGUCGCACGGGUUUAGACCCGUGGCGAAAAGCUCAGUAACACGUGGCCAAACUACCNGAUGGAUCGGAAUAACCUCGGGAAACUGAGGCCAAUUCCGAAUACUGCUCCUGCACUGGGAUGUGCGGAGUUCGAAAUGCUUCGGCGCCAUAGGAUGUGGCUGCGGCCGAUUAGGUUGACGGUGGGGUAACGGCCCACCGUGCCCAUAAUCGGUACGGGUUGUGAGAGCAAGAGCCCGGAGACGGUAUCUGAGACAAGAUACCGGGCCCUACGGGGCGCAGCAGGCGCGAAACCUUUACACUGCACGACAGUGCGAUAAGGGAACUCCGAGUGCGAGGGCAUAGAGCCCUCGCUUUUGUACACCGUAAGGUGGUGUACGAAUAAGGGCUGGGCAAGACCGGUGCCAGCCGCCGCGGUAAUACCGGCAGCCCAAGUGAUGGCCGAUAUUAUUGGGCCUAAAGCGUCCGUAGCUGGCCCGGACAAAGUCCGUUGGGAAAUCCGCGCGCUUAACGCGCGGCGUUCAGCGGAAACUGUCCGGCUUGGGGCCCGAAGAACUGAAGGGUACCUUCGGGGUAGGAAUGAAAUNCUGUAAUCUUGGACGGACCGCUUUGGCAAAGCGCCUUAAGGAGAACGACCCCACAGUGAGGGACGAAAGNCAAGGUU
rnacentral:rRNA from 1 species